rnacentral:tRNA from 1 species
UGGGGUGUCGCCAAGUGGUAAGGCAGCAGGUUUUGGCCCUGCUAUUCGGAGGUUCGAGUCCUUCCACCCCAG